rnacentral:rRNA from 1 species
UGUAAGCGUAUACCAAAGUUGUUGCAGUUAAAACGCUCGUAGUCGGAAUUUGGCAUUUCCGGAUGUGUGCACGUCGUGUGCGCACUUCGCGGGGAUUGCUUUUGUGGUCUUGCGUAGGAUGAGGCACUUUUAUUAGUGAACGUCCUCACGCAACCACUUUUUACUGUGAGAAAAUCAGAGUGCUCAAAGCAGGCAUUUGCCGUGAAUGUAUUAGCAUGGAAUAAUAGAAUAGGACUUGGUUCUAUUUUGUUGGUUUGUUGGGACUGAGUAAUGAUUAAGAGGGACAGUUGGGGGCAUUUGUAUUUCGGUGCUAGAGGUGAAAUUCUUAGAUUACCGAAAGACAAACUGCUGCGAAAGCGUCUGCCAAGGAUGUUUUCAUUGA